CUGCCCAAUGAGGAUUUAAAUGGCCGCGGUAUUUUGACCGUGCAAAGGUAGCAUAAUCAUUAGUUUCUUAAUUGGAAGCUGGUAUGAAAGGUUGGAUGAGAGAAUAACUGUCUCUAUUUAAAUUAUUUAAAAUUUUAUCUUUAAGUAAGAAAGCUUAAAUAUGGAUAGAAGACGAGAAGACCCUAUAGAGUUUUAUAGAUUUUGAUUUAAAAGGCUUUUAGAAUUAAUAAAUUUUUAUAUUAAUAUAUAUUUAGUUGGGGUGAUUGAAAAAUUAAAAAAACUUUUUUUAUUUAUUAUUACAUUAAUUUAUGAAUAAAUGAUCCUUAAAUAAAGAUUAAAAGAAAAAAUUACCUUAGGGAUAACAGCGUAAUUUUUUUAAAGAGUUCAAAUCGAAAAAAAAGAUUGCGACCUCGAUGUUGGAUUAAAAUAAAAUUUUGGUGUAGGGGCUAAAGUAUUUGGGUCUGAUCGACCCUUAAAAUUUUACAUGAUCUGAGUUUAAACCGGCGU
rnacentral:rRNA from 1 species